rnacentral:miRNA from 1 species
CCCCAGAUGUUGCUGAACUACAACUCCCAUGAUUCUUUCAAUGAAACAGAUAGUCGGGGAAUCAUGGGAAUUGUAGUUCAGCAACAUCUGGGG